rnacentral:lncRNA from 1 species
UUGGUAGCUUAAGUGAUCAUUUCACUCAGUAAUUCGAGUGCCUGUUGAGAUGUGUGUACAAGCUCAGACAGUCUUCCUGGGCUGCGCCAGACUACUAAAAAGCCGAUGAAGCACAUUCUUUAUUCUGCUACAAAACAAAUGUGAAAAUGUCUUGAUGAAAGCUCAGCUGCUUUGCAAAUGUACAAUGAAGGCAAAUUUAACUGUCUGGGAUUGAACGAAGCCACAGUGAAAUGAUGAGAGUGGUUGCAGGAUUUUAGGAAUUUUUGUAUUUGGAUAAAUGAGAAGAUCAACCUGUCCUGUGUUCCCCGCGUGGCUACUGUGGGCUUUGAAGAAGUUAAUGUAGAGAAAGCCUGCUCUUAUGGUGUCUCGUUUUGUUAUCAAUGAAGACUGCAUCUGGACUAGGGAUGGAGGAUCAGCUAUUCCUCUGUAUCAGAUGGUGACUUCGUGUAGGAAUACUCUGCUGACCCUGGAGAAUGUUAUGUACACAGAGAUGGAUCAGUUCCCAAGGGAACCCAGGCCAGCAAUGAGAGUGGUGGCCUCAAAACCAUGGUACUCCUGCACAUGUUUGGCUGAGCUUCAGAUUGUUUUGUGAGUGUGCUGGCAGUGCAAGGGAGGAUGAUGGAGUUAUGAAAUGUAGAAUAUAUGGCCCAGGCCCAAUGGGGCAGCUGGGGUUAACUUUGGCUCAGCAGCUUGGCUCUGCCUUUAAUAUAUUGUCUUUCCUUAACUGCCUGGACUCAGCAUGUUGGGGGGAUGAUGCAAGGCAUUGUCCCAUUGCAUUGCAAAACUAUGGUGUAGACUCAAAAGAGCUCCUCUGACUAAACCUAGAACCUGUAACUCAUGUGAAGCUUCCUUGUCACCAGGCAUAUCAGCAUUUUCAGAAGAAAGAUUUCCAUUUUAGAGAAUCAAAGUGGCCAUUCACCACUGCUGAUUACUUUUAUCUUGUCUGUCAUACUUUCCUAGACUCCUGUCACACCAUUGCUAGGUUCUAGUGUCAACCACCUCAAAAUGGCACCUAUUAAUUUUUCCUGGUUAUAUAUACUGAGUGCCAGUACAAGUAUGAAGUGCUCUUAUAUCCUACCAUAUUGCCAUAAAAAAGUGUUGGUUUUAUGUUUCCAUUUGUAUUUUCCUGAUGACAAAGGUUGUUAGGUAUCCAUUAAAUAGUUAUUGAU